GGACAACAUUUAUCCGGCAUGCAUUUGUUUUUGCAUCUCUGUGUGUGUUUGUGUGUGUGUGUACGUGUGUGAGAAAGAGGGCGAGGAGAUUUUCUAUGUGUUUGUGUUUUUGUGUGUGGGUGUGUGCUUUAGCACUGAGGGCGCCAGGUCAGGAGGCACAUUUCUACUUUGCCUGUUGAUUCUCUUCAGCAUGAGAAACCAUAGUCUUAAUUUUCAGAUAAGUCUGAGCAGAAAGAAAGUAUCCAGUAAAGCAGUGCUUCUCAACUGGUGGGUCCCGGCCCAAAAGUGGGUCGCAGACACGUUCUGGAUGGGUCAUAAAAGGAAAUAUUGAAUGCGAUAUUUAUUAGAUAGUCAAUAUUUUCUGUAUAUGCAACUUCAGUAGUUGUCGUCCUCAUGUUGUCCCCUUCAUGUGCUCUGAAAUGCACUUUACUCAGUAAAACAAGUGGAUUUAUGUUAAAGAUUAGAGUCUUUAAAGUUUUUUUACAUAUAAAAAAUGUAUUUGCUUGGUUUGAUUUCUAUAAAGGUGGGUCACGACUUAAGGACCAUGGGAAAAUGUGGGUCCCAGAGUGAGACCAGUUGAGAACCACUGCAGCAAAGCACAGUAAUGCAUUCACGCUAUUCACUGUCUGCUUGGCGUGCAAACACUUGGACAUGUGCAGAAAAUCUAUCCCCAACUGCAUUAUUAUGAUAAGAUUUAGUCAGAUUAUUAGUUAGAUUUAGUGUGAUUUCAGGUGGAUUUAAGGGAAUAAAUUAAUAUGUUUGAAUGAAAGGUUGACCAGGACUCCUCUACUGCAGAGCCGUACAAGGUAGUUUGUCAUUUUCCGGACUAUAAGUCGCACUUUUUUUCAUAGUUUGGCUGGGUUUGUGACUUAUACUCACAUGUGACUUAUAUAUAUUAAAAUAUAUAAUUUCAUCUAUAAUCUGAUCUUGGAUUUUAUAAAAUAAACUUCCCUUCCAAAAUGUGACUAAAGGUCCUUACACACCAGGGCCGACGUGAAUAUAGAAUGCGAAAUUACAAAAUAUUCUGAGGUGAAUUUUGACGGGCCUCCUUCACUUAUGAUUGGCUAGAAAAGCUGGAAACGUCAUCACACGCUUAAGCCAAAUGGUCGGCAUUUAUAGCCAAUCAGAGGCAGAAGAUGCAUUUUUUUGGCUGGUGCGACUUCUACUCGGGAGCGACUUAUAGUUCGGAAAAUACAAUACUUGUAGCUUUAUGCAGGGUCUUCCUUGUGGAGGCACUGAUUAGAUGUUGCUUCAAAACUUGUAAAUAAUGGAGCCUUCCCAGAUCCAGUCAGAGAUGAGAUUCAUGGUUCGGUCUAAACCUGCAUUUGUGGAUCCAAAGAUCGCUGAUUUGGAGGGUAUUUUGAGCUCAUGUGGUGACUUCCGCCGCAGAGUCAUGCCUAGUUUUAAUGCCAUGGCUUCAAGAUCAUGACCUCUCAGUAUGAGUUUUCUGACUUUCUGAAUCAAACUCUUCAAAUGAAACUUUUCCACUCUUUAGGAAUUGAGGUUAUGACGAUAGUGGCUCAUAAUGAGAGAGGCUCUGUAUUUUUGUUGAAUAAAAAAAUAACCAAGAAGUGCAUUAAUGAUGAUAACAGAUCUAAAUCAUGUUCUAUUUUUGUGCACAUGGCUUGUCGCUGCAGUUUUCUAUUCCCACAUCUCCUGUGUAUGAGCCCCUAUAGCCUGAGGUGCAAAGCAACAACUCGACGCUCCGUCUAAAACUAAAUAAGAGAGAGAGGCAAGCGAGAAUGGGGAGAUAUGUUCUUGUUGAGGAAUAUAAAAAAGAAGAAGAUCCUUUAGGCAAUAAGAUGGGAAGCAGAACUUUUUCUUGGAAAGCAGAGACAACAGCAGCCAGAGAAAGAAAAGUCUUGUCACACUUGGUGUCUUUCCCACUCAAACACAAAGAGGGGAAAACGCAGCGAUAACUAAAUUUAACAAAGAGGAAUGAAGACGAAUACGGACGCGCACAAAAUCGGCUGAAACGCUUAGUAACGGGUGUCAGCAGAUGUUUUUUUUUCUCUAGCUCGCUCUUUUUUUCGGUGUUGCUGUUGUUAUUGGCGGUGGGGAUGAUGAUGUGUUUGUUGCCGGCUGCCUCCAACUGUCAGCCUAAACAGAGUGGGUGUGAGGCGAAGUCAAUCCCUCCCCCAAACCCUGUCUUUAGGAACGCAUCGAUUUGUCAGUCGUCAAAAAAAUGACAAAGGAGCGAAAAAAUCAAAACGCUGGUGUCUAAAUAGUGCAGAAUGAGUAGGAAUGAUGCCAAACAAUGGGGUGUUGCGUCAAAGGGAAUAAAAAACAAAUUGAUGUCAUUCAGCUUGUGUGGAUUUCAACUUUUUUUUAAAUAAGAGCUCUAAGCUUCCCAAUCUUCCGUCCUCUCCUUUGAAACUUUACAUUCAUCUUAAUGCUAAUCUGUCUUUGAAUUGUAAAUUCUUUGUAAUGAAUAUUCAAUCAAAGCACCUGUUUGAGAGCACACUCGGAUGAAAAAAGUAUCAGUCUGUUAGAUUCUCCUAUGGCGCAGACUUAAAAAACCAUAUGUGCUCACUCCAUGCGCAUAUGGGCACAAGCUAACAUAUGUCUCAUGAAUGUAAUCCCCAACAUUCAUGCAAUCAAAGUCUUAAGGUUGUGAAGCUUCGUAAUGAGCGACGCAAAAGUGUGAGGAUGAUUGGAAAAAAAAUCUAGUUGCCUCAAGUAACCGAGGAUGCAAAUCAGAUGCAGAUGUAGUCAAAGAUUGGGUUAAUGCAAUCCGAACGCCUCCCUCUUUCUAAAUGUACAUAUUUGAUAAGGUUAUUCAGGCUCAUCUGAGGUUAGACCAAAAAUACUGGUUACACACGACUCAUUUAAGCAAAAGCAAAGCGUCCUUGGGAUGAAACGGCGCCAGUAACAAAAGAUCGAGGUGUUUUUUUCAAGGGUAAUUGCGCUACUUUGCAAUUCAUGAAACUUUGAAGUAGUUCAGACUGGAAAGAAAAAACUAAAGUUCUGCAUAAAAAGCAGCUUAACUGAAGUACCAUUCAGAAAGCAAAAAAUUAAAUUUAAUGGGACUGAGUCUCUUACUCGGUUCUGAAAAAUGUUCAUGUUACCAAAAAAACAAAUUCACUCUGUGUCUUGUGUUAUGAGAGUUAAAUAAUGGCACUCCAAGCCUUCAACUAAACCACGCAGAAUCAUAUCAGAAAGAGUUAACGGUGACAGUUGGAUUAGUUAGUUGAUCAGGGACUACUCUGGGGAUAUAAAAGUCUCAAUUUUUCUGUUAUUAUUAUCAUGAAGAAAAAGAUGAAUUUCUGCAGAAUUUCAACUUGAAGUCAACGCAUGUUACAAGUAAUAGGCAAACAAGGUAAAAGCCUUCAAUUCUGGAUCUGAGACGAGGGAAUAAACACAAUUUUUCUAACAUCUCAGCUCCUUUUUUUGUGCCAAAUGUGGAGCUUUUAGAUGAUUAAUGUAUUACAAAACCCAUGUAUUCAAAAAACGAAGUGUGAGGUUUUAAAGUUAAAAAAGUCUAAAUUAAACUACAAGAGGAAAUCUGGUUUCUUGCAUCCCACAAUUAAAAAUACAAAUUAACUUUUUCACUUUGUGAUUAAUCAUACAUUAAGAGCUGUUCUUAAUUUAUUAAUUAUGCAACACUCAGCAAAUUAAUGUUCUGUUUAGGGUCCUGGAGCGUACUGACCCUCUUAACAGGCACCAAAAAUUAAAUAUUUAACAUGUUUUAUCAUCACAAAAGCGAUCUAAUUUGAUUAAAUUUGCUAAUAAACAUGAUUUUCAAUUCAUCAUAUUCAGAUGUCUUACAGCAGUGAGUCUGAAACAAACAACAAACCACAUAAACUUUUUUAAAUAUAUAUUUUAUACCCCAUAUUGAAAAGGAUGUUUGCUUUUUUUUAAGCUUUAAAGUAGAAAAGGUGGAGAAAGCAUGACUAAAACAGACCCACAGUCUGUCAGCCUCUCACAUAUGGAUGGAAAUAUCCAGCGACAGAUUGUUCGAUUAUUUUAGUCAUACAGCCUGUUAAUGUGUUACAUAUGUACAGCCAGCAAGAGGAGGUAUCUAGAGACCCCAACACCUCCUUAAGGAUCACAGCUUUAUGAUCUAUUUAUGGUUAUCUUUGGUUGGCUUUCACCUGGUUUCAUGGGUUUGACUUCUUUGUUAAGUCUUAAUGAAGGUUAGUUUGAUUUGUUUGGGUUAAGUUGAUGAAAUUUAGUUCAGUUGGAUUGGUUUUGUUUGGUUGGUUUUGGUGUAAUGUUUCUGGUUUUGGUUUUGGUCCAGUAAUCAGUUAGGCUGGGUUUGAUUUCAUUGGCUUUUGUUUGGGUUUGUUUUGGUAAGGUUUAAUUGGUUAUGAAAGGGUUUAUUUAGGUUUGUUUUGGUAAUAGUUUGAUUAGUUUUGAUAGGGUUUUUUUGGUUUGUUUGGUAAAAUUUGGCAGGGUUCCUUUUGGUUUGUUUUGGUAAAGUUUAAUUGGUUUUGAUAGGGUUUUUUUAGGUUUGUUUUGGUAAAGUUUUAUUGGUUUUGAUAGGGUUUGUUUAGGUUUGUUUGUUAAUUGUUUGAUUAGUUUUGAUAGGGUUUGUUUAGGCUUGUUUUGGUUAAGUUUGGUAGGGUUCCUUUGAUGUUUGUUUUGGUAAAGUUUAAUUGGUUUUGAUAGGGUUUGUUUGGGUUAGUUUUGGUAAAGUUUGUGUUCUUUUUAGGUUUGUUUAAGUAAAGUUCAGUUGGUCUUGAUUUGUUUUGUCUUUUUUUGUUUGAUCUGUUUUUUAUGUGGUUAGUUCAUUUUGUUUUGCUUACUUUGUUUUGGUUUGGUUGCUUUAAAUUGGUUUGAUUUAUAGUUUGGUUGUUUUUUGUACAGAUUUGUACGGGGUUUUUUUUGCUUGGUUGGAAUCAGGACUUCCACCCUCGCACCUCGUCCCCCUAUUAUAACUGGAAAAGAUAUCCUUUUUCAUGAGGAACCCUGCUGCAGAGGUCAUGUUUGCUAAAGUUACAUUUAUCUGUUUGCAAAGUCGUUUCUGGAAAUGCUCAUCAUUCAUACAUGACCUCUAUAAUGAACUUCUGCUCUACAUAUUGAGUUUCAAUGGCGUCAGCUGAAAAGAAUACACAAUAGCAAUGGGAAAAACAUUGUUCUACUUUGUAGUCAUUGUUUGUACACACAGCUGUAAGUCCUUUUCAGCUCAUUAUGCAAAAGCAAAGAUUGAAAUCCUCUUCCCAAAGUUUAAAUGUUUCUAUUUUUACUGCACAAGGUCAGUGCACUCACAGUAAUAGAUUUGCAAAGGCUUCCGCCCCUGAUACCAAACAGAAUUAACUGAACCAAAAGAAGCAUUAUUGCAGUCACUGCUGUUUGCACAUGAUCACAUUCAGGGACCAACUGCUUUAUCCUGAAAUGGCCCCUGAUGCUCCACUACCUCGGUCCUUUUUACAUAAGCCAGCAAUUGUACUCAGAGAGGGGGGAAGCCAGAGAGGUUUUCAUUAAGCUCCUUGAGAACCUUCUCCAUGUCAGAAAGUAUGUCAGUGACCAUAAAAGCAGCAGGGGGGAGGUGUGCUUUCCAAGCCAAUAAGCAUUGCACUAGCCAGGAAAGGGUAUAGACUCGGCAGCACCUCUCCUAUAACAGAGGGAAGCCUUGGAUAUGAAAGUAUACCAACAACACGUCUGGACUUGAAAAGGCUCUUACUGAGAGCAUAAUCGUCUUAACUUUCCAUUGGCCUAGUUUUGAGAUGUUCUCUAACCAGACAGGUAAUUUUAAAGCAAUGAAAUUAUUCCCAGGGGUUUAUAAAGGAAAAUUCCGGGAAUUAAAAAAGUCCCAUUGCCUCGGUGUACAGCUCCUGGACAUGCGUGCGGGUACAGUAUACAUCCAAUAAGUGACUUGGUGACUUCAGACACUUGGUAUUGCAGCUGUAGCUCCCAUUUGAGCUGUGUAAUCACAAGAGGUAGAACCACAGAGCGCCUGAAAUGCCACUGAGGGAUGGGCACGUGUGUGGCUGCUAAAUGAAAUCAAUGAGAUAAUCGAUAAGUGGGGGCUGGAAGAAGAGGAUUACUCAGAGCUGGAGGAAACACUCGCUGGGCCAUUCACUCAUCUUGAUUAAAGGGCCUGGCUUUGUGCUUUGACGCAGGCCGGUGCGCAGUGGGUUGACACCAGAUCUGGGUCAAUUAUGAGUUGAGGUUCUUUUAAUUACUUAGGAUGUUUGCUCUAUGGUCUGUCUAGCAGACAAGGGCGUGCGAGGAAAGGUUUGAAAUAUUUGAGCCCCUUGUGGUUUGAUUGAUUUAUCCGCCCACGUUUGAACUCCAGGGGAAGUGUGUGUGCAACUUCCACUAGAGCUGCUCCACGUAUGGAUGCUUUGUUCUAGCCAGGAUGCUCCACCCUUCACAAGACGAGCUGUUAUGAAGCCAAAUAUUCAACAUCAUUAGACUGAUUAGAUUAACCACUAGGAAUCAGCCAGCCAACAAAUAUGUCAUGUUUUAACUUACAGUUUUGUCCACUCACACCACAUACAUUGAUGGCAGUGGAUUCUGUAUGACGUGCCCAUCAGUUUUAACUAACCCCAUUUAAACGCUGCUGGCUAUGUCACCAGGAAUAAUUCAGGGUUUCGCCAAAGGACAUUUUGGCAUGUCAACUGCGCCAUCAACCAAACUGUUCUACCUUUACGUCCAAAUACAAACCAGCUCCAACCCUAUUUAGCUUUCCAGAUUGGACAAGAAGAGGCACAUUAAGGGUGGUGCAGCUGCGAUGUGUUAAACGCAGCAAAAAAAGAAACACAUGCGGGUCGGGUUUAGGCAAUAAAAGCACUUGGAUGGGUUCUGUAAAGGAUUAUAUUGAGAUUUGAGUACACCAUUGAUGGCAUCCAUUAGUUUCCAAAGUGGCUAAAUCGAAAAAGCUGACUCGGCCUAACUGAUGCUCGUGAAGCAGCAACUUUUUGCACUUUUGCGUUGGCUUCUGGAAUUAGCCAAUAAAUGUACAACCAAUGACUAGGAAAUGGUACACAACAUUUACCUUAUUUUUUUGCAACACUCACGUCUCAUGAAAGAGCCAUACAUUGUCCACAACUUCCAUGCUUUCCAACACAAUAGACCAGUCUAUUAUAUUUCACAAACUAGGAGUGGAUACAGACUGCCUUCUUUCAUUUAAAGCCCUUUUACUCAAGCUUGAACCAAAGCCACCCACAGACACACCAUUAAGGAAUAAAUAGUGUUCCAUGCCCGCCAUAAUGUGGCUCACAAAGAACUAAUAAAACCCAACCACUGAGACUUACAGGCAGAGUGCUGAGCAAUGGAUGGGCUAAUAAUAAUAUCUGGGAGAAACACCAAGAAUUCCCUGGAGAUAAUGCCAGAUAAUCAUAACUACACAUCCAUAUGAACUGGAAACAGCAGGAAAGGUUGAAGUGGCCGCAGAGUUUGGAAGUGCAGCUUCACUGGCAAUGACACGUGGGACUUUCAUCAAAGCUUACAUCAAAGGCGAAUACCCAGCUUAAUAUCUUUUGGGGCUUUAUUUCCACAAAGGCUAAACAAGAGCAGACACAGUCGAUUCAGCUACAGGGAGUCAGAUGAAAGCUAGCCACGGAUGCUUGAUGGAAAAAUUAAAGACUGGGGUCAGUGUUUUGGGGGUUGAUUUUCCCAUCAGGGAUUGAGCAUCUCCGCCUGAAUAUGGCUUAGGUGUAGCAUUUUUCUUCUUUUAUAAGCUACCUGCCUGCUAUCUUUUAGUCAGUUGUCAAGGGAUUCACUCUAAAAAUAAAGUAUGUUAUCUUUUUUGGGGGGAAAAUAAGAAAUGAUAGACAACGCAGAUAGGCCUUAGGUGGCACAAAUAAGAGAAGAUAAUGUAGGAGGUGGGUGUACAAGCUGUAAUGGGAUUUCUAACUGAUGUGAAACCAGCACAAGCAACCACAGGUUCGUGUUUCCUCCCAAAGAAAGCACCCCAGAGCACAGAAAAAAAGCACAGCUUCCACCACAUCAAGUAUUUUCCAUAGCUGGAGGAUUAAAUGACCCAGACUUAAACUAAAGUGGUACCAUAGAGAUUUACACCAAAGCAGAGUAUAUGAGGUGUGCGGAAGAUGUUAUCCCUGCUGGAAGUGUUGCAUCGACUGCCAGCUCCUGGGGGGGGAUCUCACACAAACGACGGCAGGCCUGCUGGGCCACAGCAGUGUUGCAGUGCUGUGUGCCCAGCGUGUAAAAGAGCCUGCCCCAUCUCUGCUGUGUUUCCAACAGCUAUUUUCCAUUGCAUUAAUGAAUGGGUCCUACGGUUAGACACUGAGUCACACAGGACUAUACAGCGAGGGAACACCUGGCGGCAAACAAUACCUGGUGGAUUUGAACAGAGGAAGUGAAAUGCUUUGAAGAUCUUUUAUCUAAUGUAAUAGGAAAUAUACCACUUUGCUGCUACAUAUGACAUUUGCAUUUUUCCCAUUAAACAGAAGAGAAGUCUGUAUAUUUAUAUAACAGAUAACAGCAGUAGAAAUGGCUCCCAUUGCAUAAAAGCAAUGCAGUAAUUUUCUGAUUAUAAAAACGCUCAUAGAACACGUAAGACUUCUGAAUGUCUAUGCACCAGUCAGAGUUAUUGGACUGUGUCAUUUUUGCUUUUUCGUUUCACAAACCCAAAAAUGAAGCGAUGCAUUCACAAUCACGCUGUAGUGUCGUGCAUUGUGUAAUAAAACAGCCGGCGCUGCAGCAGGAGUCUAAAUGUGUCAUUUUCUCUCAAGGGGACCCAAGAAGAAGCAUCCAAGAAAUCAAGAAACACUCUCCUCAAGAUCAUAAAAUAUGAAAAUAUGAUGAUGCCAUGAAGUUGAAGUAUCUAUGCCUCAGUGGGUGGUGAUAAAAUCACAUCUCUUUCACCAUUUUUUAGACACUUUUACCUUUCUGAAGAAGAAAUACGUAAGGCAGUAUGUUUAAGCUGAUGUGUAAAAUGCUAAUAAAAGCUGAAUUUGAUACUUUGCUAAUCAUUCAAACACUUGAUUUAGUUGAAAAUAGUGCAAAGACAUCUAACAGGUGUCUGUUUUGUGAAAUUUUACAUUCCUUUUAUAUCCUACAGCAGCUACACAUUUCAAAAAACUAGGACAAAGCAUCUUUCUUCUUUCAACAACAAUUGUAAGGGUUUAACAGUCUAGUAAAGGUUUUAGGAGUGAUUUUUAAGAGACGUGACUACAGAGCCAUGUCUGUUUUUAAUGUAGGGUUUCCCUGAAGCUCAAAGUUUGCAAUGUUUUGGUAAAGAUAUCUUGUACAGAUUCUAAAAUAUCCCUCUUCUUUGCAAGUCAAGACAGUAUUAACACCUGGGUGAUCAAAUACAAUCAUAGACAGCGCUAUCACUAGAUCCACCCUCUGAUAACUUCUACAUUUACUCAAUCAGAAAGGGGUUAUUGCACUUAUAGAGUACUUCUAAUUGAACGCAAUGGCUCGUGGUAUAACAGAGAAAGGUACUCUUCUUAUUUUGUCCACUUCAUCAACAAAUAUACAGGCCAAAAUAUUAGGAACACCUUUAGCUAGUAAACCAACACUCAUUUGGGCCUCAACAGUCAAUUUAAAGCACAAAUAACAGUAAAUAAUUCAACUUUUCUGUAGUUUUUGCACUCUUUACAGUUAAAAAUUUGUGUUUUUAUCAACAUUUUACAUCCUAGCUUUUAAGGAAUUAGGGUUGUACCUGUGUAAAGCUUUUAAGCCAUGAAACAGAUGAUAAAAACAGACCUGUCACACGUCUCAUUACACCAACUCAAACCCAAUGAAAA